rnacentral:rRNA from 1 species
AGUAAUGUAUGGGGAUCUGCCUGAUGGCGGGGGAUAACUACUGGAAACGGUAGCUAAUACCGCAUAAUGUCUACGGACCAAAGCGGGGGACCGUUCGGGCCUCGCGCCAUCAGAUGAACCCAUAUGGGAUUAGCUGGUAGGUGAGGUAACGGCUCACCUAGGCGACGAUCCCUAGCUGGUCUGAGAGGAUGAUCAGCCACACUGGGACUGAGACACGGCCCAG